GGCAAGAGAAGUAACACAUGACAUCUUUCUCUCAAAUUAAAAUGUGACUUGUUUGGCCGGUAGGAACGUAGUGGGAGAUGGAAAAGACCGGGAGUCGAAAAGGAAGAGGAGCUUCUCAUGUAGUUCUCAAACUUGAGGAUAUCUAUCAACUAUCUAGCACCAUGCGGCUUGCAGGAUCUUAGCUCCCAGACCAAGGAUCAAACCCAUGAACCCUGUAGCAGAAGCUUGGAGUCCUAACAGGGAAGUCCCUAGACCCCAUUCUCUUUGAAGAAGGCUACGUUGGACCAGUGGAAACAGUUGACCUUUUAUCUUACUUUACACUUGUGGACACAUCCAGAUUGAAAUAAGAACUUGAAAUCCCAGGAAAUAGAAGGAAAUGUUUUAGGUAAAUAGGACUGAAAUUUAUUUUCAGCCGGGAAUUGAAUAGCAACAUGGCACUGGCUAAACAACAAAGCCUCUUGCUGUUUAGCAGCUUCUUGGCCCUUUGACUUUACCUGUGAGCAGUGCUUUUGGACACGGAAGGGGCGCUGGGCCCUUAUUGAGACAAGACUAGCAUAGGACAGAAAUUGUUCAAAAGGACAUGACAGAUCAGAGACGAGAGUCAGGCAGACUGUUCUGCUGUGCUAUAUCUAAAUUGCAAAGGAGAAGAGAGACUUGGGAAACAGUGUAAUUAGAGGCAUUUUAAGCUCCCUCGUAGGAGGAACAGCAAAAUAUUCUAAAUUUGAAAUUGUAGUGGGAACUUGAAGCUCCAAGGUGGUGGGGACAAGGAUAGGGAACAAGGAGAAGGGAAGAAGGUGCAAUGUGCUUUCAGACUCAGAGGGAAAGUAUUUGAUCAGACACUUCAGAGAAUCAGAAGACACAGUUCUAGGAGAAAGGAAUAGUAAAAUCACAUUUCUCCCAAGUACAAUGAGAGAUGUAAGGCUAGAGAAGAAAGAACCAGAGAUUGAGGGGGUGGGAGUAAGUAAGUAAGGGUUGACAGGGCAGAAAGAACUCAGAUGAAAGCAGAUUGAAUAUGUACAAGGCAUAAAAUAAAAAUUGAUUUUUUUAAGUAAAAAUAUUUCACUGUACAAAGUCUCUAGGCAUGCCAUUAAUGUUUAAUUAGAUUAUCACACUCACUAUGUAUUUUUUCUAAAAAUACUUUUAAAAGUGCUAACCAAAAAGUGCUAACUUUUUGGCCACGGUUCAGAAUAUGGUUGUGAAGCCUCACAUAGACUCAGAGAGUUUCUCCUCCUGAAGGCUAAUUUUGUUCUCUACCUGAUCCUGCCAAACUGAGAAAAUAAGCAUAAGUUGUUUCUUCAGCAAAGAGCAACUCUCAAAACUGCUGUCGUUCUAAGAGGAGAGGCAAAAAUACCAAUGUUUCAUGUUUCUCCUAGAAAAGAUUUCUUGUUCAAAUAACCCCUCACAGUUAUAUAGCACUUUAUGCCUUUAAAACACUUUCAGAUGCAUUAUUACUUCAUUUGAAUUUUAGUGAGUUGUAUCAUAACGGGCACUUUCUGUUUCAUGUAUUUUUACUUAAUGCUUUUCUACCAUCAAAAUCAAUAAAACAUUAGAUAUGGUUAAUUAGAUUCUUAUGCCCUAAAAACUCUCAGCCUUUUGCUAUUUCCACUUAAGGUUUUGUUUUGUUUUUAGUUUUUUGUUGUUUUUUUUUUUUCCACUUUCCAUCUAAUUAGAGAGCAUUUUAUGCUACUGGUCUGGUGUCUUGACUGUCUAAAUUUCUCAUCUUGCACUUAACAAAGUAACACAGGGCCUCUAAGACCUAGAAAAAAAUCCAUGUUGGGAUGGACCCCUGGGUCUCUAUGUUAUAACUAACUGCUCAGGUCAUUCACUAAUAGUGUGAGAGUUCUGUGGCCUGUUGAUGCUGUUGAAGCACUUUAGAGGUUAUCAAUUAUCAACCAAAUUUUUAAGCUAGACUAGACCAGGCUUUGAACCCUAGAUUUACCACUUAAUAGCUGUGUGGCAUCCUCCAUAAGGUGGUGAUAUUUACUUCAUGUCAUUUGUAAAGUUUCUAAGUACACUAGUGUUCCUGAUAUACAGUGGGCACUGAAUGCAUGUCCAUCCCUUUCCUUACCUCAGAAGGAAGACCGUUGAAAAGUGGAGUCACAGUUUAUGUGACAAGGACUGAGUUUGAUUUUCUUGACAAAAGUAGAGAUGGGAAAGCUACCUGCAUACCCCAGGGUAAUUGUGUGCACUGCUAAACUCUGACCAGUCCACCAAGCCUGCUGACACUCCAGUGGAUUCCGUCAUCACCAUCAGGCAGAUCAUGAGGUGCCUACAUACCAUAAUCUCAAGAUGGCCCAAAUAUAUACCAUAUUCCCAAAGAAGACCAGCCCCAUAAUUACACAAACGGUAGAUUCAGAUAGCACCAGCCAACCAACAUCACUCAAGACAUUUUGCUUUCCUAAUAUGGGAUGAAAACAGUUGGAGUGUUUUUGCUUUAUCCUUGAGGGGCUCCUAAGGCCUAUUCCUCUGUUUGAGUCGAGUUCCCUGGUUUUCCAAUCAUCAGUCAGUCUUAGGUCUCCAAUAGUCUUUCUUUUUUUUCCCUUUAACACGAUGUAAGAAAAACUAGUGUCUUAGCCUCUGGGGAAAAACUCUUUAUCUUUAUUCCCCUACAGAAGAAGGCAAAUAACUUAGCUUGAUAGAUGUUGAUUCUUUGCCUAAAGGAGAGAACCAAGUUGGGAGAAAUGGACUGGAAGAUCAGAAGAUUUUGCUUCUACAAGACAAAAAUCUCUCUGUGAGAGACAAUGGUUCAGUUUCAAUUUCAACAAGCACGCAUAGAGUAUAUACAUUGUCCAAAUACUGCAUUGGAUUUCAGAGAUAUUAAAGUGAGUACAUGUUCCUUAUCCUAUCCUUCAAGCCUACUUGGAAGAACAAAAGAAACCUGUGAUUCAACCUAUCAUGAUGGGGACUGAGGCUAAAAAAGGCUCAAAGUGAAAAGUGCUCUGGGUCAUACAUAGAGGGGAAAUCAUCAGCUCUAAUGGGAGGAAAGGGAGCUAAGAGAAGGCUUCACAGCAGGGGUAAUACUGAUGCUAAUUAUAAUCUCUAUGUUUGGUCUAACUGGCAGUUACUUUGUGAAUGUGAGAUAUAUUAUGGAGUUUAUUGACAUUUCUGGUUUGUCCUAAUUCUUUUAUUUUUUCAAUUCAUAAAGUUCUAUUUUACAAAUA